rnacentral:rRNA from 1 species
UGGGGAAUUUUGGACAAUGGGCGAAAGCCUGAUCCAGCAAUGCCGCGUGUGUGAAGAAGGCCUUCGGGUUGUAAAGCACUUUUGUCCGGAAAGAAAUCCUUGGCUCUAAUACAGUCGGGGGAUGACGGUACCGGAAGAAUAAGCACCGGCUAACUACGUGCCAGCAGCCGCGGUAAUACGUAGGGUGCAAGCGUUAAUCGGAAUUACUGGGCGUAAAGCGUGCGCAGGCGGUUUGCUAAGACCGAUGUGAAAUCCCCGGGCUCAACCUGGGAACUGCAUUGGUGACUGGCAGGCUAGAGUAUGGCAGAGGGGGGUAGAAUUCCACGUGUAGCAGUGAAAUGCGUAGAGAUGUGGAGGAAUACCGAUGGCGAAGGCAGCCCCCUGGGCCAAUACUGACGCUCAUGCACGAAAGCGUGGGGAGCAAACAGGAUUAGAUACCCUGGUAGUCCACGCCCUAAAACGAUGUCAACUAGUUGUUGGGGAUUCAUUUCCUUAGUAACGUAGCUAACGCGUGAAGUUGACCGCCUGGGGAGUACGGUCGCAAGA